rnacentral:rRNA from 1 species
GCAUAACGCGAAGAACCUUACCCACCUUUGACAUGUACGGAAUCCUUUAGAGAUAGAGGAGUGCUCGAAAGAGAGCCGUAACACAGGUGCUGCAUGGCUGUCGUCAGCUCGUGUCGUGAGAUGUUGGGUUAAGUCCCGCAACGAGCGCAACCCUUGCCAUUAGUUGCUACGAAAGGGCACUCUAAUGGGACUGCCGGUGACAAACCGGAGGAAGGUGGGGAUGACGUCAAGUCCUCAUGGCCCUUAUAGGUGGGGCUACACACGUCAUACAAUGGCUGGUACAAAGGGUUGCCAACCCGCGAGGGGGAGCUAAUCCCAUAAAGCCAGUCGUAGUCCGGAUCGCAGUCUGCAACUCGACUGCGUGAAGUCGGAAUCGCUAGUAAUCGUGGAUCAGAAUGUCACGGUGAAUACGUUCCCGGGUCUUGUACACACCGAGUCUUGUACACACCCGGGUCUUGUACAC